CUGUUAAAACUUUUAGGGUGCCUUUCCCACACAUUUUACUCGUUUUCAAGUGUUUCAAGACGCACUCGUGAUGCUGACACGCCAGAGUGUCUUUAACUUUAAUCGAAAUGCCACGAGCGUGAAAGUCAUCAGGCUGUCACUGAUCUGCGCGUGGCCAUGACCGGCAUGAUAAAGAACCGGACGGCUUUUCGGCGAGGAAAACGGCUAAUGGGCGAAAGAUGAGGAGAAAAACAAUAGCAAAGCGCAUCCUGUACAAUGGAUACGAGGGAUACGAAGAGACACCCGAAGAAACCGGCGCGAGGGCGAACCACGUCCUCAGUGUAUGUAAACAUUAAGCUUUUGUUGCCUAUGUGUCAUUGUUUUGCACUCCCUUGCUUUAAUUAUGUGACUGUCUUUCAGCAAGAGCCGGCGAAGAGGAGAAAAUGGAGAGAACUAAAUGGAGAGGACAUCUCAUCUUGCAAUGCUGACUAUAUUAAGUUCAAAACAAAGGCUUUUGAGGUUGACAAGCCCCUUGGAGAUGCAACAAGGGGUGCAGAUUUUACUAUGGAGGUGCUCGGAAGUCUCCAAUCACGUCCAAGGGCGGAGCUUAUCGCCAUGGUGUUGAGUAUGCAGAGGGAGAUGGACGGCCUUCGAGAGCAAAUCAGAA
rnacentral:lncRNA from 1 species